GAUGAACGCUGGCGGCGUGCCUAAUACAUGCAAGUCGAGCGAACAGAUGAGGAGCUUGCUCCUCUGACGUUAGCGGCGGACGGGUGAGUAACACGUGGAUAACCUACCUAUAAGACUGGGAUAACUUCGGGAAACCGGAGCUAAUACCGGAUAAUAUAUUGAACCGCAUGGUUCAAUAGUGAAAGACGGCUUUGCUGUCACUUAUAGAUGGAUCCGCGCCGCAUUAGCUAGUUGGUAAGGUAACGGCUUACCAAGGCAACUAUGCGUAGCCGACCUGUGAGGGUGAUCGGCCACACUGGAGCUGGGACGCGGUCCAGGCGCCUACGGGAGGCAGCAGUAGCGAAUCUUCCGCAAUGGGCGAAAGCCUGGCGGAGCAACGCCGCGUGAGAGAUGAAGGUCUUCGGAUCGUAAAGCUCUGUUAUUAGGGAAGAACAAAUGUGUAAGUAACUAUGCACGUCUUGACGGUACCUAAUCAGAAAGCCACGGCUAACUACGUG
rnacentral:rRNA from 1 species